rnacentral:tRNA from 2 species
UCCAAACUGGUGUAAUUGGGAACACAGCCGGGUCUCAGGCGGCAGAUCCAGGUUCGAAUCCUGGGAUUGGAA